AGGAGCAGGCCCGGCAGGAUUUGUCUAUAGAACAUACUCCAGCAGCUGAAGCAUCAUUGCCGAUACCUGAACGAGAGUUUGUGCCAAGGCGGACCAAUAGAACAACAGCAGGCCACCAUUCAAACCCUUAUAAUCUCCCGUGUACAUUACCAGUACGCUCACCUGGAGACGAACCUAGGGGAGCUCAGGUAACUGUUAGCUCCCAUAAUGCUGUUUUUAGGCCCUGGUUGUAGUACCUUCACCACCUGUCACCGAGACGGUGACAUUUUGGGGGCGGUGAGUGUAGCGGGUAGGUGAUUGAGACUGGAAGUGUACCUUUAAGGCCUAAUCACUGGCGCUGAUCAUUUGGAUCAGGUGGCGUAAGUGACGCGUCCCUUUAAAUGUGUUGCAAGACAUGAACAGAAAAACAUUAAUGCGGUGUGAGUUGAAGAGUGAGCCUCUUGGUGUAUCGUCUGUGCAAACAGGAGAAUUUCGGCUUGGUGUCUGCGUGUAUGGUAACCAGUAAAUGGUGCCAGUAGUCACGAGUCUACAGACUAUCGCAAAAUAGUGAGUAGUGAUUCUACAUGGGGUUUGAAGUAACGAGUAACAUCGAGGAGAGUGUCCAUUAAUCAUUCAUGCCGUUUAACUUUAUUGUUAAAGAGUAUAUAGCUCUUACUUAUUUGGGCUGGUGUCAAAAGAAAUGAGGAUUGCCUUCGUCGGCCACUAGCUACUGUUUUUCCUGGGUUUAAUAAUCUUGUUUCAUUUUGUAUUUUUUCAUAUGUGUGUCUGUUUGGCAAUUGUCAUUAUUCAACCUUUGGCCAUGGGCAUUGUGCAAUAUUUCCUCUAGGGACCGUGUCUAUCUUGCAAUGUUUACUGGUGU